GUUUGGUUUUCGUAUUUUUAUGUUUUUCCUUAACACCAUGUGUCAGUUAUGAAUGACCACAUAUAGAAGAUAUACAUACAUUUGGAUCACAGCGCUGAAUAUACAUCAAUAACGGACUAUACAAAGUGGUACGACUAUACAGCUGUUCAAAUAAUUUGGGAUGUCAGGGCAAGGUAUAUCCAUUUUGCCUGCCCGUCUCUUUACCUGCUCGCGUGUGUGUAUGUGUUCAUUAAAUAUGACAACAGUUAAGUUGUACAGUAUGUGUUGACGCCUUGUUGUUGCACUUCAACGUUAAUCCGGCUUUGGUCCUAAAAGCUGAUGUGGCAUCUCACGUCUAGGCUCACUGACCCCGGGUCAGUGCUACAGCGAGGUCAAGAGGGAAUUUCUGAGUGAUUCUGAUUCCAGAGCUAUUUAGCGCCUUUUGAGGAUCAGUUUGUUUAUUGUGAAAUUGAGUUCUCCACUGGUAAUGACGCAGUCAUAACGAGAGCUGGCGGGCGGUAGUUAAGAUGCCAAAGACUUCAAUAGUCUGCGGACUCGUUUUAAUAAAGUGGUUGCUAGCAGCAACAACCCCUGGACCCGGAGUCAUAAACGGCGUCAAUUAUUAAUGCACUUGCACACAGGCUGGGAAGCGACAGGCACCGACAAGGACUAGAAGUACACUGAUCUCACAUAAUGGAGGAGAGAGAGCCCUCUCCGUCCUCGCAGAAAGAGGUCCUUAUCAUUCCUCUCCAUCCAAACGUCACUCCACCCAGCCCUGCCCACCAGACAUCAUGCCCUUCCUCUUCUCAGACCACAUCUACUUCCACUGUGUCUUCUCCAAAAGGACCAGCAGGUUCACAGCUGUUUGCUGAGUUGUUGGAAAGCCACGCCCGUCGCAUCCCUAGGACCGCCUCCCCAGAACGCGUAACCACACCUCCACAACAAACCACACCCCAACAUGUAACCACACCCUCUAAUGUGGCCACACCCUCCCCUGUGGCCACGCCUUCUCGUGUAGCCGCACCCCAAAGCCCUUCUCUCUCUCCAACCCCGACCACAUCCCCUAAAGAGCAAGGUGCGCGUAGCCUCAGCAGCCCCGAGCUUCUCAAAGAGCUGAAGCAGCCACACCCACUCAAGCAUGUCUCCGCCCACAAGGGCCUGACCACUGUCUUCUCUGGGCGGGGCAAGACUCCAUCACCAAGCACUACCACCAGUCAUGGAGGAGAGAAGCCUCAGGGCUUGUCCAAUGGAAUGAAGCAUUAAAGAUGUGCUGUUAAGCCAUUGGAUGUAGAAGGUGCCAUUCAUCUGUGUCAGACAGACACUGCAUGCUCAACUCCUCUGCCAUAGUCAUGCUUCCAUACUCACACAUCACAUCCUAUGCUAUGUCCGCCACACUCCUUAGUAGUAUAUACAGUAUGUAUCAUGUAAAAGCACACUGUUCUGGAAUGUAGAUGACUGUGAUGUUUAUAUGUUUACUGGAUAGAUGGUUUAGCUUUUGAAAGUGACAUCAGACAUAAGGGCAUAUGAAUGUGAGAUGUAUUUGUAUAAGGUGUGUGUGUGUAUUUGUAUAAGGUGUGUGUGUGUGUGUGUGUGUGUGUGUGUGUGUGUGUGUGUGUGUGUGUGUGUGUGUGUGUGUGUGUGUGUGUGUGUGUGUGUGUGAAAAUCCUGUGUCGCUGCUCAGCCUUCCUCAAUAAGCUAAUGCAUCAGCACUUAUAAUAAAACAUGACUUACUUAUAUUACA
rnacentral:lncRNA from 1 species